AGAACGAACGCUGGCGGCAUGCCUAACACAUGCAAGUCGAACGAGACCUUCGGGUCUAGUGGCGCACGGGUGCGUAACGCGUGGGAAUCUGCCCUUCGGUUCGGAAUAACAGUUAGAAAUGACUGCUAAUACCGGAUAAUGACGUAAGUCCAAAGAUUUAUCGCCGAAGGAUGAGCCCGCGUAAGAUUAGCUAGUUGGUGAGGUAAAGGCUCACCAAGGCUACGAUCUUUAGCUGGUCUGAGAGGAUGAUCAGCCACACUGGGACUGAGACACGGCCCAGACUCCUACGGGAGGCAGCAGUGGGGAAUAUUGGACAAUGGGCGAAAGCCUGAUCCAGCAAUGCCGCGUGAGUGAUGAAGGCCUUAGGUGUAAAGCUCUUUACCCGGGAUGAUAAUGACAGUACCGGAGAAUAAGCUCCGCUAACUCCGUGCCAGACGACGCCGACGUACUCGUGACGGCGGCGUGGACGACGGCGAC
rnacentral:rRNA from 1 species